GAGACUCUUGGGCCAGGGUGCUGCAGCAAGGUGCCUGUGGCCUUAGGUUGUUGGAGAGCAGAGGCAAGCCCGCUCCAGGACCUCCAUGCUCCGCCUCCUUUCUGCCUUGACCCCUCACCACUGCAAUAGCAAUGAGCUUUCCACUUUAAAGAGCUUGGGGCUUUGAUGGCAAACAGACUGGAUUUGAACCCUGGCUUGACCAGACCAUUUACUACAUUAGUCUGGGUUGAAAUGACCAGGAAGGGUUUUACAGAAUGAUUCCCCUAAGCAAACAUCCCAGAGAGAAGAAAAGCAAAAGACACACAGCUAAAUGGACAACAGUUCCCAGCCUCGUCACAGGAGAACUCUUUGGAGCCAAGUGAACCCCUGGGUCUCCUUUUUCCCACCCCAUCACUUCAACGCUUUGAGAUCAAGUUCAAACUCAGUCCCAACACAGAGUGU